GUUAAUCUAAGUAAUUGCCUAACAUAAAUGCACUUACAUAGUAAUUAAGUAUCCUGGUUGACAUAUGAUUGUAAACAAUUGCUGAAAUUAUUAACUGUUCACAGGGUUGCUGUGGCUCUUCCCCUCCUCAGGAGGCAACGAAGAUUACAAGGUGAGAAGACAGCACAAAGGCAAGGGAAGUUUUGAGAGAGAAAAAUGAACAGCUCUUCAUUAGUGACUGGUGUGGAAAUCCGCCCGCUGCAACCUAUUGUUUCAUAAUCUGGGGAACAGCAGAACAACAGGUAUACAUCUUGUGGUGAAAGGACACGCUGUGAUUCCUGACUGCUUCAUGACCACAUUGAGCACACUGAUUCACACCAUUGGAGUUUGUUUGAAUUGA
rnacentral:lncRNA from 1 species